rnacentral:lncRNA from 1 species
GCCAUGAGUCACAGCAGCUGGCUCAAGGCUGGGAGGGGAAGUAAAACACUAAAUCUAAGGACCACUCUAUUCACCCUACAGUGACUGCUCUUUUUCCCUCCUGCCACAGUCCAGGGUAGGAGAUACUUCUCCAGGCUCUCACUUAUGGGGGCUUUCCUGCUGGCUACAUCACUGAAAUGGAAUCUCCUAGUGGCCCUUCUCCCUCUACAGCUCUGGUGUUACACUGAAAAACUAGAAGUUUCAAAACAGACAAGGGAAAAAGAGAAACAUCAGAAAGUCUGAUUAAAGUAGAAGCAUCAUAUUUCUAUCAACGUAUCCACUGUGCUUGGACACAAUUGCAGGCCCUUGACAUCUUUUGCCUGGAUUAUUGCAACAGCCUCCAAAAGGACUCGUCUGUCUCCAUGAUACCCCUCCAUCCUCCUCUGCAUCAUCACCAAGGGAAUCUUUGUAAAGCAAAGGCAUGAUCAUGCUUAUCACCUGGUGGAAACCCUUCAGAGACUCUCCACUCCCCAGAGCAGGCACCACAUCGUUAGAGUCUACAGAAGGCAGGAGGAAACAGAAAUGAGUGCCGGGUCCAUAGGACUCUGUAAUAUUCACCGGCAGGAAAACCCAAGGGAAUGACUACUAUGACAUCUGAUGCUGCUCACUGAUGUCACUUAGAGGAAGGCAGGGGCACAAGAUGGGAGGACCCAGAGCUCCGGGUUCUUAAGCAUUAUAGUAUACAUAGCCUUGGAAUCAGAAGACCAAGAACAUACAAGAGAACAUAGCCUUGGAAUCAGAAGACCAAGAAACAAUUUAACUCUGCCCCUCUAGAGCUCUGAGAACUUGGGCAAGCCUUUUACCCUCUUGAAUUUUUGCCACCUUCAAUGAGAAAGACUGAAACAAAAAACUCAGAAGAAAGAAAGAGACUGAGAUAGCAAAUAUGACAAACUGUUAAAAAUUCAUGAAUCUGUUAUGGAAUACUAUGCAGCCAUAAAAAAGGAUGAGUUCCUGUCCUUUGCAAGGACGUGUAUGAAGCUGGAAACCAUCAUUCUGAGCAAACUAAAACAGGAACAGAAAACCAAACACCACAUGUUCUCACUCAUAAGUGGGAGUUGAACAAUGAGAACACAUGGACACGGCGGGGUGGUGGGAACAUCACACACCGGGGCCUGUCAGAGGGGAGGGGGCUAGGGGAGAGAUAGCAUUAGGAGAAAUACCUAAUGUAGAUGAUGGGUUGAUGGGUGCAGCAAACCACCAUGGCAUGUGUAUACCUAUGUAACAAACCUGCAUGUUCUGCACAUGUAUCCCAGAACUUAAAGUAUAAUAAUAAAAAGAGAGAUUAAAAAAAUUGGUGAAUCUGGGCAAAAUGUACACAGGAUUUUUCUGUACUGUUCUUGCAACUUUUCUACAGAUUUGAAAUGUUACAAAAUAAAAGGUAUUUUUAGAAAAAGAG